rnacentral:rRNA from 1 species
GACGAACGCUGGCGGCGUGCUUAACACAUGCAAGUCGAACGGUGAAACGCCUUCCUUUUUCGUGUGUGUUUAUCAGUGGCGAGCUGGUGAGUAACUCGUUAGUAACCUUCUCCCUUCUUCUUGAUAUCCGCAUGAAAGUGCUGCUAAUACGGGAUAUUCUGAGUCUCUCGCUUGAUUAGUCUGGGACAGAUUUUGUUUCGGUGGUGGAUGGGCUCGCGGCUUAUCAGCUUGUUGGUGGGGUGAUGGCCUACCAAGGCGGUGACGAGUAGCCGGCCUGAGAGGGUGGACGACAACGGAGGGGAGACGACACGGAGAAGCCUACGGGGGGAGGCAGCAGUGGAGAAUAUUGAACAGGGGGAGGAAGGAUGAUGCAGCGACGCGGGGGGGAGGAAGGAGGCCUUAGGGUAGAAAACCUCUAUCGGGAGAGAAGAAGGGUUGCAGCGUUUGUGGGUGGGUUGACGGUAGCUAGAUAAGAAGCGACGGCUAACUACGUG